CCUACGGGAGGCUGCAGUGAGGAAUAUUGGUCAAUGGACGAGAGUCUGAACCAGCGAAGUAGCGUGAAGGAUGACUGCCCUAUGGGUUGUAAACUUCUUUUAUAUGGGAAUAAAAUGUUCCACGUGUGGGAUUUUGUAUGUACCAUAUGAAUAAGGAUCGGCUAACCCCGUGCCAGCAGCCGCGGUAAUACGGAGGAUCCGAGCGUUAUCCGGAUUUAUUGGGUUUAAAGGGAGCGUAGGUGGAUUGUUAAGUCAGUUGUGAAAGUUUGCGGCUCAACCGUAAAAUUGCAGUUGAAACUGGCAGUCUUGAGUACAGUAGAGGUGGGCAGAAUUCGUGGUGUAGCGGUGAAAUGCUUAGAUAUCACGAAGAACUCCGAUUGCGAAGGCAGUUCACUGGACUGCAACUGACACUGAGGCGCGAAAGUGUGGGUAUCAAACAGGAUUAGAUACCCCGGUAGUC
rnacentral:rRNA from 1 species